rnacentral:rRNA from 1 species
CAGUAGCCGCGGUAAUACGGAGGAUCCAAGCGUUAUCCGGAAUCAUUGGGUUUAAAGGGUCCGUAGGCGGUCUUGUAAGUCAGUGGUGAAAGCCCAUCGCUCAACGGUGGAACGGCCAUUGAUACUGCAGGACUUGAAUUAUUGGGAAGUAACUAGAAUAUGUAGUGUAGCGGUGAAAUGCUUAGAGAUUACAUGGAAUACCAAUUGCGAAGGCAGGUUACUACCAAUUGAUUGACGCUGAUGGACGAAAGCGUGGGUAGCGAACAGGAUUAGAUACCCCCGUAGUCCCUGUCUCUUAUAC